UGCUCAGGAUGUGCUUAGGAAGGGCC
rnacentral:piRNA from 1 species